UUCUCUCCACCCGGAGAAAGUGGAUCUCGGUCGGCCUCUUCGAGAUCCUCCCCAUCAAUGGUCGCCGCCACAACACCAAGAAAAAGCUUGGCAGCCGGUGCCGUUGUUGUGGAUGGUGCCCAUCUUGGUUCAUGGAGCGAAUAGGUUUCUCGUGGGCGUGCAAAAGCGUGCUCGAGCGCCGGUGCCGUCGCUGCGGAUGGGACGACCGCGUUGACUACGAGCGUGCUCGAGAUCCCGGUUCAGACCGCCACGCUCAGGCGGCCGAGCCUUAGCGGUGCAUCAUGGACCGGCGGUGCUCUCGCACACCUGCGCCAGCCUCCGCGCCUCGGAGGAGGAGGUCGACGACGGAGGCGCCGUCAAGGGCGAACACUGGCUCGGUACCCCCAGCCCACGCCCCUCCUCUCGCGCCUCGCUCGUGCUCACCACCGGCCGUUUGGUGUUCGCUGACUUCUGCUGCGCGUUUGUGCUGACAAUCUGAAGGAUCUGCAGAGGGUGCUGCGAUGGGAUGCCUUCAAGCAGGUCUGCAAGCUCCAGCUGGCGACGCGCCUGGUGAAGUUCAUUCGCAUCGGACCAGCGGGAUCCUCGGCUGGCUGUGAGCCGCAUGUCCCACCAGGUCUCCCUCCCCCUGUUGAUUUUGAUUUUUCCCAUCCCUUUCGUUUCCGAUUUUCCAAGCCAUUUUUAGUGCUUCUCGAUAUGCAGGUAGUACGGGUUCCAUGGACUCUUUUCAUCGGUGGAGACAGAGUACCGGUCAGGAGCAUGGCUUGGUGCAAGAUGGAUGCAAAAAUGGUGUCUCCCUCUGAUGACUUCGGCGGGUACUGCUGGAUCCAUGUCCACAAAGGCAUGGCCUACGGCGAGCGCAGCCGGCGCUUGGCUGGAGAGUAGCUUAGUGUUCUCCAGGAAAUGUUUGUAAUUUUAAGUUUUUGGGGAUCUUUUUUGCUUCUGUACAGGCGUAUGUCCAUGUUUGUUUAUGUAACAUACAUUUUAUUUAAUGAAAUGAGCAUAUAUUUUUUGACAAAAUAUACUCGCUUAAAAUUUCCAUGGACCAACAGCAGAGAAAUGAG
rnacentral:lncRNA from 1 species